rnacentral:misc_RNA from 1 species
GCAAACUUGGUCAUUUAGAGGAAGUAAAAGUCGUAACAAGGUUUCCGUAGGUGAACCUGCGGAAGGAUCAUUAACAAGUUUGACAUGGGUUGAUGCUGGCCUUCCGAGGCAUGUGCUCGCCCUGCUCAUCCAUCUACCCCUGUGCACCUAUGUGGUUGGCAAGGCUCGUAAGGGUCGAACCGACUACGUUUUUUACACACACUUUUUGUUCAGAAUGUAACUUGCGAUAUAACGCAUUAAAUACAACUUUCAACAACGGAUCUCUUGGCUCUCGCAUCGAUAGAACGCAGC